rnacentral:rRNA from 1 species
AGAGUUUGAUCAUGGCUCAGGAUGAACGCUGGCGGCGUGCCUAACACAUGCAAGUCGAGCGAUCUUCUUCGGAAGAGAGCGGCGGACGGGUGAGUAACGCGUGGGUAACCAGCCCUGUACACACGGAUAACAUACCGAAAGGUAUGCUAAUACGAGAUAAUAUACUUUUAUCGCAUGGUAGAAGUAUCAAAGCUUUUGCGGUACAGGAUGGACCCGCGUCUGAUUAGCUAGUUGGUAAGGUAAACGGCUUACCAAGGCGACGAUCAGUAGCCGACCUGAGAGGGUGAUCGGCCACAUUGGAACUGAGACACGGUCCAAACUCCUACGGGAGGCAGCAGUGGGGAAUAUUGCACAAUGGGCGAAAGCCUGAUGCAGCAACGCCGCGUGAGCGAUGAAGGCCUUCGGGUCGUAAAGCUCUGUCCUCAAGGAAGAUAAUGACGGUACUUGAGGAGGAAGCCCCGGCUAACUACGUG